rnacentral:rRNA from 1 species
UACGUAGGGUGCGAGCGUUGUCCGGAAUUAUUGGGCGUAAAGAGCUCGUAGGCGGCUUGUCGCGUCGGAUGUGAAAGCCCGGGGCUUAACUCCGGGUCUGCAUUCGAUACGGGCAGGCUAGAGUGUGGUAGGGGAGAUCGGAAUUCCUGGUGUAGCGGUGAAAUGCGCAGAUAUCAGGAGGAACACCGGUGGCGAAGGCGGGUCUCUGGGCCGUAACUGACGCUGAGGAGCGAAAGCGUGGGGAGCGAACAGG